AGAGUUUGAUCAUGGCUCAGAACGAACGCUGGCGGCAUGCCUAACACAUGCAAGUCGAACGAGACCUUCGGGUCUAGUGGCGCAUGGGUGCGUAACGCGUGGGAAUCUGCCCUUGGGUUCGGGAUAACAGUUGGAAACGACUGCUAAUACCGGAUGAUGACUUCGGUCCAAAGAUUUAUCGCCCAGGGAUGAGCCCGCGUAGGAUUAGCUUGUUGGUGAGGUAAGAGCUCACCAAGGCGACGAUCCUUAGCUGGUCUGAGAGGAUGAUCAGCCACACUGGGACUGAGACACGGCCCAGACUCCUACGGGAGGCAGCAGUGGGGAAUAUUGGACAAUGGGCGAAAGCCUGAUCCAGCAAUGCCGCGUGAGUGAUGAAGGCCUUAGGGUUGUAAAGCUCUUUUACCCGGGAUGAUAAUGACAGUACCGGGAGAAUAAGCCCCGGCUAACUCCGUGCCAGCCGCCGCGGUAAUUC
rnacentral:rRNA from 1 species